rnacentral:rRNA from 1 species
ACCAACAGGGAUUGCCCUAGUAACGGCGAGUGAAGCGGCAACAGCUCAAAUUUGAAAUCUGGCUCUUUCAGAGUCCGAGUUGUAAUUUGCAGAGGGCGCUUUGGCUUUGGCAGCGGUCCAAGUUCCUUGGAACAGGACGUCACAGAGGGUGAGAAUCCCGUACGUGGUCGCUAGCUAUUGCCGUGUAAAGCCCCUUCGACGAGUCGAGUUGUUUGGGAAUGCAGCUCUAAAUGGGAGGUAAAUUUCUUCUAAAGCUAAAUAUUGGCCAGAGACCGAUAGCGCACAAGUAGAGUGAUCGAAAGAUGAAAAGCACUUUGGAAAGAGAGUCAAACAGCACGUGAAAUUGUUGAAAGGGAAGCGCUUGCAGCCAGACUUGCUUGCAGUUGCUCAUCCGGGCUUUUGCCCGGUGCACUCUUCUGUAGGCAGGCCAGCAUCAGUUUGGGCGGUGGGAUAAAGGUCUCUGUCACGUACCUCUCUUCGGGGAGGCCUUAUAGGGGAGACGACAUACCACCAGCCUAGACUGAGGUCCGCGCAUCUGCUAGGAUGCUGGCGUAAUGGCUGUAAGCGGCCCGUCUUGAAACACGGACCAAGGAGUCUAACAUCUAUGCGAGUGUUUGGGUGUCAAGCCCGAGCGCGUAAUGAAAGUGAACGGAGGUGGGAACCCGCAAGGGUGCACCAUCGACCGAUCCUGAAGUUUACGGAAGGAUUUGAGUAAGAGCAUGGCUGUUGGGACCCGAAAGAUGGUGAACUAUGCUUGAAUAGGGUGAAGCCAGAGGAAACUCUGGUGGAGGCUCGCAGCGGUUCUGACGUGCAAAUCGAUCGUCAAAUUUGGGCAUAGGGGCGAAAGACUAAUCGA